CUAUGCACCACCUCGCCCCGACUCCCGGUGAGGUGGGCGGGGCCCCGGCAGCCCACCUGCAGUGCCCCCUCUGCGGCCACUUCGCCAAGAGCCACGCCCACCAGCUUACCCACAUGGCAGCGGCCCACCCUGCACGUCUGGAAGGCGUGGCCGUCGGUCGCCUAGGCACCUCAUCUCCAGGCACUGUGAGGACCAGAGGGAGGGGCAGGCAGGGGAGACAGAUGCUCCAGGGAGAAAGAGGAGCAUUGAGGAGGAGCUGCCCCCCCCCCCAGAAGGAGCGCGAUGAGAAGGUGCUGAUGUUUGAUGGCUCCGGCUACCGCUGUCUGAUUUGCGGCUGGAUGAGCAAGCUGAAAGCUCUGGGAGUGAACCACGUAGUAAGAAAGCACGACAUCCCCAAAGCCUACGCCUCCCAGGCCAUCAGGCGGGGCGCCUCCGCGCCUCCCCUGCCCACCGAGGAGGAGGGGGUGGGGGCUGGGCUUAGCGGCGAGCAGCUAAAGGAAGAGAUGGAGGCCACAGCCAAGGUGGUGCGCUUCAUCUCAAACCGCUUUGUGUGCCUGAUCUGUGGCUGGAAGACCAAACUGAAAGGCUUCGCCAUCAGCCACGUGGUGCGCUGCCACGACGUGGAGCGGCCCUACGCCUGCCGCCGCUGCUCACGCCGCUUCUUCCUGCCCAGCCGGCUGCAGCAGCACGUCAGGGCGGAGCACCGGCCCGGCCGCUACGCCUGCCCCUUCUGCUGCUUCAGGUCACACUUCCUGGGGGGGUUCAGGAGGCACUGCAGCCGCUGCAACGCCAGAGAGGAGGAGGACGGGUGGAGAGGGGGGGGCGGAGGGCGGCUGGAGGGGGGGGAGGAGAACGAAGAGGAGGAGGAGGAGGAAGAAGAGAGAAAGGAGAGGAGAGGGUUGAGGAAGAGGAAGAGUGAGAUGGAGGAGAAGGAAGAGGAUGAUAACUAA
ensembl:lncRNA